UACGAAGGGGGCUAGCGUUGCUCGGAAUUACUGGGCGUAAAGGGCGCGUAGGCGGCACUGUUAGUCAGGCGUGAAAGUCCUGGGCUCAACCUGGGAACUGCGCUUGAUACGGCAGAGCUAGAGGAUGGAAGAGGCUCGCGGAAUUCCCAGUGUAGAGGUAAAAUUCGUAGAUAUUCGGAAGAACAUCAGUGGCGAAGGCGACCUUCUGGACGGAUACUGACGCUGAGACGCGAAAGCGUGGGUAGCAAACAGG
rnacentral:rRNA from 1 species